AGAGUUUGAUUAUGGCUCAGAACGAACGCUGGUGGCGUGUCUUAUACAUGCAAGUCGAGCGAGGCAGCAAUGCCGAGCGGCGAACGGGUGGGUAACGCGUAAGCAAUCUGCCCCAUAUCAGGAAAUACCCGUGCCAACGCGCGGUUAAUGUCCAGGAGAGUGGCCCUCUGCAUGGAGGGUUGACUAGAGAUUUAUCGGUAUGGGAUGAGCUUGCGUCCGAUUAGCUAGUUGGCGGGGCAACGGCCCACCAAGGCGACGAUCGGUAGCCGGCCUGAGAGGGUGAUCGGCCACAUUGGGACUGAGAUACGGCCCAGACUCCUACGGGAGGCAGCAGUAGGGAAUAUUGCACAAUGGGGGAAACCCUGAUGCAGCAACGCCACGUGUGGGAAGAAGCAUUUCGGUGUGUAAACCACCGUCAUGAGGGAAUAAGGCCCAGUUUAGGCUGGGAUUGAAUGUACCUUGAGAGGAAGCACCGGCAAACUUCGUGCCAGCCGCAGC
rnacentral:rRNA from 1 species